rnacentral:rRNA from 1 species
CUACGGGAUGCUCCAGUCGAGAAGCUUCGGCAAUGGACGAAAGUCUGACCGAGCGACGCCGCGUGAGCGAUGAAGGCCCUAGUGGUCGUAAAGCUCUGUCAGGAGGGAAUAAAUACCUGUGGCUAAUACCCGCAGGGGCUGAAGGUACCUCCAGAGGAAGCACCGGCUAACUACGUGCCAGCAGCCGCGGUAAUAGAGGGUGCAAACAGUUGUUCGGAUUCACUGGGUAUAAAGGGUUCGUAGGCGGACCUAUAAGUCAGAGGUGAAAGCCAACGGCUCAACCGUUGAACUGCCUCUGGUACUGUAGGUCUUGAGUCCGUUAGGUGAUGGUGGAAUUCCUGGUGUAGCGGUGAAAUGCGUAAAUAUCAGGAGGAACACCGGUGGCGAAGGCGACCAUCUGGGACGGAACUGACGCUGAGGAACGAAAGCUAGGGUAUCAAACGGGAUUAGAUACCCUCGUAGUC